AUUGAACGCUGGCGGCAGGCCUAACACAUGCAAGUCGAACGGUAACAGGCAGAAGCUUGCUUAUUUGCUGACGAGUGGCGAAUGGGUGAGUAAUGUCUGGGAAACUGCCUGAUGGAGGGGGAUAACAACUGGAAACGGUAGCUAAUACCGCAUAACGUCGCAAGACCAAAGAGGGGGACCUUCGGGCCUCUUGCAUUCGGACGCGGCCAGAUGGGUUUAGCGUGGAGGGGGGGUAACGGCUCACCUAGGCGGGUAUCCCUAACUGGUCUGAGAGGAUGUCCACCCACAGUGGGACUGAGAGACGAUCCUGACUCUUAGGGAAGGCACCGGUGGGGACUAUUGGAAACUGGGGGGAAGCCUGCUGCAGCCGUGCCGCGUGUAUGAAGAAGGCCUUCGGGUUGUAAAGUAGUUUCAGCGGGGAGGAAGGGAGUAAAGUUAAUACCUUCGCUCAUUGACGUUACCCGCAGAAGAAGCACCGGCUAACUCCGUG
rnacentral:rRNA from 1 species